AACAGGGGGAAGAACACCAUGAUCACAAGGUGGUUUCCCAGGUGAGAGCUCAUCCAUUGCCCUCCAAUGUGCUGACCCCUGGAUUUCCCCAAAUGUGGGAAACUUAGCUGCAUAAUUUGCGGUAGUGGGCAGCUGCAUUCACACUCUCCUA
rnacentral:snRNA from 1 species